GCAAUGCUAAACCUAGGACAUAGUUACUGACGAGAGUUUUAUCUUAAGUUUUUAGUAAUUUUUUUAUUGUAACUUAUAAGAAGUUGGAAGUUCCCGUGAACAUAUGUAGAGAAAUAUCCUUCAGUGAAUAUAUUUUUUGCAUAGUUGUCGCGCUACUAUCACUUCACAUGUUUAUAUUUCUUUUACUGGUAAUAAGACUGAUUCAGUGAUUGUCUUUCUAACUACGCAACGUUACUUUUUAUCGAGUGAGUAUUCAACUUCAAGGACUGAAGGCCCAAUCACUGAAUUUUAAUCAAGCUUUCUUGGGUAAACAUUGAAUUUGACGACAUCAUCGUGCAGAAGCUGAAACUGCAAAAAUGAUGGCCCCAACAACAACAAUUGAAACGGUGACUGUGGUUCGACCACUAAAGGUUAUGGUAUUUCCCUGCCAUCCCCCUCCCGAAGUGGUUCAGCCGUACGUCUGAGGGCUAAUAUAGUUUGAAGCCUAACAACACUAAACAUCAGGUUGCGAUACCCACAAUGGACGUAGCACAAAUAGCCUAUUCUGUAGACAACAAGAGGUUUUAAAAGUUUUCAGUGCUGACUGUUUAGACAAAGAAGAG